CUUGGUCAUUUAGAGGAAGUAAAAGUCGUAACAAGGUCUCCGUUGGUGAACCAGCGGAGGGAUCAUUACAGAGUUUACAACUCCCAAACCCACUGUGAACCUUACAGCGUCGUUGCCUCGGCGGACCGCCCCCGGCGCGGCCCCUCUCAGGGGACGCCCGGGACCACGGCGCCCGCCGGAGGACCCAAACUCUUGUAUUUGCAGGAUGCAUUGCUCUGAGUGAAAACAAGCAAAUGAAUCAAAACUUUCAACAACGGAUCUCUUGGUUCUGGCAUCGAUGAAGAACGCAGCGAAAUGCGAUAAGUAAUGUGAAUUGCAGAAUUCAGUGAAUCAUCGAAUCUUUGAACGCACAUUGCGCCCGCCAGUACUCUGGCGGGCAUGCCUGUCCGAGCGUCAUUUCAGCCCUCGCGCCGUCCCUCCAGGGGGCUCGGCGCGGUGUUGGGGGACACGGCCCCGGCCGCCCCCGAAAUGCAGUGGCGACCCCGCCGCGGCCCCUCCAGCGCAGUAAGCACGCUCGCUACGGGAGGCCCGGUGGACGCGUCCGCCGUAAAACGCCCAACUCCUCAGAAGUUGACCUCGGAUCAGGUAGGGAUACCCGCUGAACUUAAGCAUAUCAAUAAGCGGAGGA
rnacentral:rRNA from 1 species